UUCUUCAGCCUCAUUUCUCUUAUAUAACAUGCUUUAACAGCAGGGAGGGAAAAUGUGAUAAUAGCAUGGCAUCAACACUAGUGCGAACAAGUAAUAUUAGUAAGAAUAUUUGUGUGCUUUGGGACACAAACAAAUCAGAACCACGUAGGGUUAGAGAAGAAUUCUGUGCUGUUACGAUAUUUUCAGGAUCAGACUCAAUAAAUAAGUUGAGAAUUAGAAGUUCAAAUAAAACACUGUUUAUUUACAGAAGGCAUUCUAUAUUCACUGAAUAAUCACAGAUAGAAGCACAGAAGGAAUGCAUACAGCUCCUUAUAUAUACAAUGGGUGGAGCUAGAUAUGGGAGUGGUGAAAUAUGAAUACAUUAAGUAAUGAAGAAUAAGUUAACCCCUGAUACCCUGAUCAUGUACUAUUUACAUAAUGAAGAAUAAGACAUUUACUUGUGACAAAUCCCCCUCUAAAUGCCGAUUCGAUAUAUUACAACAAUUACAUUCAGAUUCAGAACAAUAUAAAACUUGUAACUUAGAAGUCAAGUAUUUAUGCUGCUUAGAAGGCAAAGGCUUUGUUAAUAUGUCAGCUAUUUGCUCUGAUGUUUCGCAAUGAACUGCUUUAAUAAAUCCAUCCU